rnacentral:rRNA from 1 species
GCAUAUCAAUAAGCGGAGGAAAAGAAACCAACAGGGAUUGCCCUAGUAACGGCGAGUGAAGCGGCAACAGCUCAAAUUUGAAAUCUGGCUUCGGCCCGAGUUGUAAUUUGCAGAGGAUGUUUAUGGUGCGGUACCUUCCGAGUUCCCUGGAACGGGACGCCACAGAGGGUGAGAGCCCCGUCUGGUUGGAUACCAAACCUGUGUUAAACUCCUUCAACGAGUCGAGUAGUUUGGGAAUGCUGCUCUAAAUGGGAGGUAAAUCUCUUCUAAAGCUAAAUACCGGCCAGAGACCGAUAGCGCACAAGUAGAGUGAUCGAAAGAUGAAAAGCACCUUGAAAAGGGGGUUAAACAGUACGUGAAAUUGUUGAAAGGGAAGCGUUUAUGACCAGACUUGUGUCGUGUGGCUCAUCCGAGGUUCUCCCCGGUGCACUCCACACGGCUCAGGCCAACAUCGGUUCUCGUUGGGGGAUAAGAACAGUAGGAACGUGGCCCCUCUCGGGGGGUGUUAUAGCCUAUUGUACGAUACUCUGACGGGGACCGAGGACCGCGCUUCGGCUAGGAUGUUGGCGUAAUGGUCAUUAGCGACCCGUCUUGAAACACGGACCAAGGAGUCGUCCAUUAGAGCGAGCGUUUGGGUGUAAAACCCGCACGCGUAAUGAAAGUGAAAUUAGGUGAGAGCUUCGGCGCAUCAUCGACCGAUCCUGAAGUUUACGGAUGGAUUUGAGUAAGAGUUUUAACGGACGGACCCGAAAGACAGUGAACUAUGCUUGAAUAGGGUGAAGCCAGAGGAAACUCUGGUGGAGGCUCGCAGCGGUUCUGACGUGCAAAUCGAUCGUCAAAUUUGAGCAUGGGGGGCGAAAGACUAAUCGAACUGUCUAGUAGCUGGUUACCGGCCGAAG